rnacentral:lncRNA from 12 species
AUCCCAGGUACAGUCAAUGGAGCACAGAGUCACAGCACUUCUGUGAGCCUGGGCAGGGGAGCCUGGGACUGAGGGAGGCUGAGACUGUGAUCCUGCCAUCUGUGGGCAGGAUCUCUCUAGUCUGACUGCUCUAGGAACUACCUACACACUUUGUUAUUUAGUCAGUCCCUUCCCGUGGUGCCAUUCUCAACAUCAGCUAACUGCCAUCCCACACUGGUAGAAGAGGAGAUAGAAUUUGUUGAGGACUUCAAGACCUGAGUAGUCACCAGGGUCUUUUAUGUGGUAAGUGAUAGAACCUGCUGAAAAAUGAUACUGGCCAGGAAAAAGGGCAGGAGCCACUGUGUAUUGGAAUGUUAAACAUCACUCUAUGGUGUUUCUGUCUAUGCAGCAUUUCUUUUCCCUGCCUCCUUCCCUUAAAAUAAUUUUUCUUUAACCACAAAACUUUUUCUUUUCUUCUUUGCAGACAAGCAGAACAAAUACAGAAACAAUCUCCGGACAUGUUUCGCAGAUGUUUUUCUUUCUUCGGUCUGUGUCUUUUCCUUCCAACCCAAAGGAGCUCUCUGGGCCAUGGAUCCAGCCUGCAUGGCAGGGGCACAACAUCCCUCCCUGGAUUUGAGAACCUCACCACGGGGUACAACAAAUACCUCCGGCCCUACUUUGGUGGUAUGUUGGCUCCACACGAGGGAGCAUCUAAAAUCAGUCUGUAAGGCUCGUGGUGCGAAGAGCAGGCUUUAAGCUUGCUUUAGGAUGCUGCAGUUUCAAAGGUUGUGUUUCUUUGACAUUAGUUGGUGUGCCA